CGGUAAUACAAGUAAGUGUCUGGCAGCUGACGAAGCACAAAAUGCAGAAAAUCCCGCCGUCAGAGAGCAGAAAAGGCACAGCAGCGGUUCUUCUCACUUCCUGCCUCCAAUGGGCGCAACACAAAAACAGGAAGUCUGUUCUGCCUGUGUGUUUCCUGGGCACAUAACGGAGCUGCUCUCCCCCUUCCACCGGCCUACGGUGGGGAAGAGGAAAGCGGGCGCACUGGUUGUUACACAAGCUCCACAGUGGCGGUCACUCAGGCCCCCGACUACAACAGCAGCCACAUUCAGAUGCUGGCUGAAAAGAAGGAAUUGUAGCACCGGACAGAGGCGUCUAUGCACUAUACAUUCACCAUCAGAUAGGAGACAAUCUGAUAACACACUGCAUUGUGCGUGUGUGUGUGUCUGUGUGUGUGUGUGUGUGUGUGUGUGUGUGUGUGUGUGUGUGUGUGUGUGUGUGUGUGUGUGUGUGUGUGAGUGGGGGAGGGUGAAUCUGCAUUUUAUCAUUCAAAUGUAUAUUCAUUGAAAGACACUCUCUGUACUCUCACACUGCAGUAAUUGGUCAAUAAAUCGGUUUCCGAUGGGGGUGGGAUGGGGAUGCCUCACGGGGGGGGGGACAAAGAGCACAAGCACUAAAAUGGAGCCUCGGAGGGGGGUUGUAGUCGUGGUGGGGCCACUAGGAGGUCUGCGGGAGGUUAAAGGGGACUUGGGGGGAGGGUAAAGCCCCUCUCUGAGUAGCUUGGGGGGUGGGAGGGGGGGCGAUCAAUGGAGCUAAAUUCAAAAGAUGCAAGUAAGUGUCUCAACCUCAACUGGAGCAACCUUACACCGUGCGGCCGAACAAUGGAACAUCUGCUGGUUGACAGCGCAGUGAGGGCAGCGGAUUUAAACUGCAGCUCUGUGGACAAAACCUCCAGCAGGAGCAACAGGUCUUACAAUGUCUCUGAGAUCCGUGUUCAAAAUCAGUCGUGGCGCAGGGGUUAGAGAAGGUGUGCUGGGAAGCACAAGGUUGGUGGUUUGAGUCCAGGCUGCCCCAUGUUCCAUGUCGAAGUGUCCCUGAGCAAGACACCGAACCCCUAAUUGCUCCCCGGGCAAAAUGUGAAAAAAGCCAUGGGUUUAAAAGUGUAAUGUAAGUCGCUUUGGCUGAAAGCGUCUGCUAAAUGACCUGUAAUGUAAAACAUGUCAGGUUUUACAUUGAAUAGCGUGUGUUCUGUUGGUGUUUUCUCCUCUGGAUAUACAAUGAAAUAAUAACAUGAAAAUAUUAUUUAUUUAUAAGUAGCAUAUAUUUCUGUUUUAAUAUUUUGUUGAUGAAAAAUUCAAUUAAAUAUGUUUUUUUAAUUUACACAACAGACAUGGAGAAUGUCUGUUUGUCAUCAUUAAUUUGGGAUUGAUUAUUAUGCUGAAAACAGCUGCAGAGCAGCGUUGAGUGUACCCUUGUUCCCUUAUACCCUUAUACCCUUUUUUCUUGUUUUCAAGGCUGGUGAUAUGUUGGAGAGGCCCCACUCAAAGGAGAGAUGAUGCAUGUCCAGUAAACCAUGAACCCAAGGCCGCUCGGGCAGUAUAGAAGUGACAAACAUUGGCCCAAUGUUCACGAGUCAACGACAUGUCAGCUGAGUUAAGAGGAUCAGAUGGGAAACACGGACAAUGAGUCAUCUAUUAAAGAUAACCAGGUUCCACAUUACAUCCCCAAUAGGACAACGAUAAUAAUAACAAUGCUUCCAAGAUUAUUGGGAGCAUUAUGCCAGCUUGACUGACUCCCUCACAGGCCAGGUCCCCCUCACCCAUUCAGUGUGUGUGUGUGUUGGAAGGGUCGGUGGUGAGUGGGUUGCCAGGGUGAGGGUAGCACAGCUGUCACUGCUGAGGCCCUUUUCCCCCCUUCUCUCCUUGUGCUUAUCCAUUAACCAGCGCCACGGUUACAUCACGGCGGCUAAUGCUCCCUCUCAUGUCUCCGGUGGGCAAAGACCCCUAUAGAAACAGUUUACUCGUGUUUGUGUCUACAAACUCUCACCGACAACCUGUGAGACUUUUUUUCUCUAGCUGCCCGUCCUGUUUCUUUAGCAACAUUUGGCGUAUUUGCGGUGUUCACGCUGCUGGACCACCGUCCAUCCGCAGAACGUCCAGGUCGGGGGAGGUUAGCGCACGCCACUGACAGCUCCCACAGCGCGGUGGCUUGAAGACCUUUUGAUGGGUUCAUUACAAUCAGAGCUGUGGUGCGUCUGGGCCCAGAUGGCAGCGGCGUUCACACUAACGGGAUUAGGAUUAGCUCCAGAUUAGAGUUGAAAGGACCGCUCCGCUGACACGAUAUGGCCGCGUUGCCCCACGCUAACUCUCCUGAACUCGUCUGAGACGCUACUAAACCACAACAAACGAGUUAACCGUCUUCUUGUGGAGGGCCGGGGGGGGGAAGGUGUCCACAAAACCGGUGUUGCACAGGAGCUAACUACACUUUGCACGAUAAUUGGCUGAGGUGUAAAGCGUAACACCGGUUGGACGCCAUUCAGCUUUUGCCAGAUGUGUACGAGAAGAGACGAAGACGUACUGCGUGUUCCAAAUGAAUCAUCAGUCUUAUGUAACAACGGCCUUGGCGUGGGGAGGGUCGGCAACACAGAGAGAGAGAAAGUGAGCUCAGAAGACUGACCUAGAUCAGUAAGUGGUGGAGAUAAGUAACCGUGUUGGAGGCCAAAGAACCAUCAGACGGGGUCUCGGGGAGACCGGCAGGGGACAAGGGGUGCAGCGAGAAAGAGGACGGCAGGAAAGGGAGCUGAACAGGAAAGCAGGGAGUCAAAGAGUGUUAUUUUUUUGCAGCAUAAUCUUUUUUUUUUUUCCGGCGGUGGGUUCACAUUCCCGUUGGGAUCAGACGGACAGUAGCCGCCACAACCUGGGCCCGAGUCCCGGGGACACAAGCAGACUGGAAUGUGGGUCAGUAGGCAGAGAGCAGGAGGACUGAGACCAGGGAAAAGUUGUGCGAAUGUGCCACCGAGAAGCACGAUGCUCCCGAGCGCGUUUCAAUCCAUACCUGCUCCCUCUGUGGCACAUGUCCUACGUUCAUCCGCGUCCACCAGGUGCACCGUGCUUUAGAAUCA
ensembl:lncRNA